AGAGUUUGAUCCUGGCUCAGGACGAACGCUGGCGGCGUGCCUAACACAUGCAAGUCGAACGGAGAUAUUAAUGAAGCUUGCUAUUUAAUAUCUUACGGGCGAACAGCUGAUUAACACGCGGGCAAUCUGCCCAUAAUAGCCUUACAACAGGUGGAAACUACUGCUAUAUACCCCAUAUGGUGACCAAUCAUUAUAAGAAGCCUCUUAACACACGCUUCCGCUUAUGGCAUGAGCCCGCGUCUGAUUAGCUAAGUGGUGGGGCCAACAGCCUACCAAGGCGACGAUCACUAUGCGAGGAUGAUAGGGUCAACGGCCACACUGGACACUGACACACACUCCCACAGUCCUACGGGAGGCAGCAGUGUUGGAAUAUUGCGCAAUGGCGGAUACCCUGACGCAGCGACACCGCGUGAGCGAUGAAGGCCUUANGGCUGUAUAGCUCUGGUUUAUGGGGACCAAUGUCACAGGGAGUAACAUGUCCUGUACUAUGACGGAGCCCUAAGAGGAAACCCCGGGCUGACUACGUGCCGAGCAGCCGUCGCUAAGACGUAGGGGGGCCCAGCGGUGGGCCCGUAAUUACUGGGACGGUAAAAACCCCGUAGGCCGGAGACUCAAAGUCGGGGGGGGAAAGAC
rnacentral:rRNA from 1 species